rnacentral:rRNA from 1 species
GACGAACGCUGGCGGCGUGCCUAAUACAUGCAAGUAGAACGCUGAAGGAGGAGCUUGCUUCUCUGGAUGAGUUGCGAACGGGUGAGUAACGCGUAGGUAACCUGCCUGGUAGCGGGGGAUAACUAUUGGAAACGAUAGCUAAUACCGCAUAAGAGUAGAUGUUGCAUGACAUUUGCUUAAAAGGUGCAAUUGCAUCACUACCAGAUGGACCUGCGUUGUAUUAGCUAGUUGGUGGGGUAACGGCUUACCAAGGCGACGAUACAUAGCCGACCUGAGAGGGGGAUCGGCCACACUGGGACUGAGACACGGCCCAGACUCCUACGGGAGGCAGCAGUAGGGAAUCUUCGGCAAUGGACGGAAGUCUGACCGAGCAACGCCGCGUGAGUGAAGAAGGUUUUCGGAUCGUAAAGCUCUGUUGUAAGAGAAGAACGAGUGUGAGAGUGGAAAGUUCACACUGUGACGGUAGCUUACCAGAAAGGGACGGCUAACUACGUG